ensembl:lncRNA
CUUCGACACGCCCCCUGGUUUCAUACUGACGAUUUUAUUUCCCGCUUUCUUUCUGUUUUUAAAGCAUCUGUACUGUUAUUUCUGGUAACUGCGUGAGGUGGGAAUACACCCUAGAUGAAACACCAAGCCAUCUCAUACACAUUCACACCCAGGGGUAAUUCAGAGUCACCACCCCACUGUCCGGCAGGUUUCAGGGAGGAAACCAAGGAGAACCCAGUGGACACAGGGAGAACUUGGAGCAGACAGAAGCCGAGCUCAGGAUCACACUUAUACACUCCAGGAUAAAACCAAGAGUCCAGCCACCACCUUGUAGAAGAAAUCCCAGUGGAUCUUUUGAUGUUUAACAGAAUGAAUGCUCUGUAUUAAACACAUCACACUUGAAGUUCGGUCAUGAUUGCCUGUUGUGUUAAAUAUAUCCCAAUGCUACUACAGCUUAUAGGAAUGACCGCAUCAGUGCGGUGUGGCAUGGAAGGAAUCAGCCUGUGGCACUGUUGAGGUGUUAUGGAAGCCCAAGCUGCUUUGAUAGCGGCCUUCAGCUCGUCUGUAUUGUUGGGUCUGGUGUCUCUUGUAGAUUCUCCAUGGGGUUCGGGUCAGGCGAGUCGGCUGGCCAAUCAAGCACAGUAAUACCAUGGUCAGCAAACCAGUUACUAGUAGUUUUGGCACUGUGGACAGAAAAGGAAAUCAGAAUCUCCAUAAAGCUUGUCAGCAGAUGGAAGCAUGAAGUGCUGUAAAAUCUCCUGGUAGAUGGUUGCAUUGACUCUCGACUUGAGAAAACACAGUGGACCAACACCAGCAGAUGACAUGGCUCCCCAAAUCAUCACUGUCUGUGGAAACUUCACACUGGACUUCAAGCAACUUGGAUUCUGUUCCUCUCCACUCUUCCUCCAGACUCUGGGACCUUGAUUUCCAAAUGAAAUGCAACAUUUACUUGCAUCUUCUCCGUGAUUGUGGUUUUGUGUACUGAACCAGACUGAGAGAUUAAAGGCUCAGG